GAUGAACGCUGGCGGCGUGCCUAAUACAUGCAGGUCGAGCGAACAGACGAGGAGCUUGCUCCUCUGACGUUAGCGGCGGACGGGUGAGUAACACGUGGAUAACCUACCUAUAAGACUGGGAUAACUUCGGGAAACCGGAGCUAAUACCGGAUAAUAUAUUGAACCGCAUGGUUCAAUAGUGAAAGACGGUUUUGCUGUCACUUAUAGAUGGAUCCGCGCCGCAUUAGCUAGUUGGUAAGGUAACGGCUUACCAAGGCGACGAUGCGUAGCCGACCUGAGAGGGUGAUGGGCAAGAAGGGAAGAGAGCCCGGGACCAGACUCAUACGGGAGGCAGCAGUAGGGAAUCUUGCGAAAUGGGCGAAAGCCGGACGGAGCAAAGCCGCGGGAGUGAUGAAGGUAUUAGGAUCGUAAAACUCUGUUAUUAGGAAAGAACAAAUGUGCAAGUAACUAUGCCCGUCUUGACGGUACCUAAACAGAAAGCCAAGGCAAACUCGGUG
rnacentral:rRNA from 1 species